rnacentral:rRNA from 1 species
GAUGAACGCUAGCUACAGGCUUAACACAUGCAAGUCGCGGGGCAGCAUUUCUUUAGCUUGCUAAGGAAGAUGGCGACCGGCGCACGGGUGAGUAACGCGUAUCCAACCUUCCCUUGUCCACGGGAUAGCCCGUCGAAAGGCGGAUUAAUACCGUAUGAGGUCACAUGCUGGCAUCAAAGUAAGUGACGAAAGGUUUGGCGGACAAGGAUGGGGAUGCGUCCGAUUAGGUAGUCGGCGGGGUAACGGCCCACCGAGCCGACGAUCGGUAGGGGUUCUGAGAGGAAGGUCCCCCACAUUGGAACUGAGACACGGUCCAAACUCCUACGGGAGGCAGCAGUGAGGAAUAUUGGUCAAUGGGCGUAAGCCUGAACCAGCCAAGUAGCGUGCAGGAUGACGGCCCUACGGGUUGUAAACUGCUUUUGCGGGAGAAUAAAGUCGGCCACGCGUGGCCAUUUGCAGGUAUCCCGUGAAUAAGGACCGGCUAAUUCCGUG